GUACUCCCUUCGUUUCAGUUUAUAAGUCCGGCACGUGUAUCUAAGUCGUCAAUUUGAUCAACUUAAUGAGAGGCAUAUAUUAUAAAAAGUAUAUUAUUAGAAACUUUAGAUGUUCUAUUUUCUAAUGAUAUAAUUUUUAUGUUAAAUAAUAUAUUUUAUAUAAGUUAAAUUGACGACCUAGAUACACGUGCAUGUCUUAUAAACUGUGACGGAGGGAGUAGUGAGAUUCUUAUCAUUCACUCGUUUCUAAUUAAGUAACGAGCGCCUAAUGGGACACCCAGCUGUCAGCCCGUAAGAAAGCACACAUCAAAACAAAGGGUGUACCAUCUAUUUGCACGGAAUUGUAUCACUUUUAUUAUUACAAAGUCAGUUCUGAAACCUAAGCUCAAAAAAGUCAGUUCUGAAACCUUCGUCUCCCUUCUGCUUGUUCAAAAAAAGAAAAAGAUUAGACCUUGGAGCUGCCCAGGUUGAUCGAAUACUUGGGCGCAUCUUUGGAUCACAACCAAAUAUUUGGCCUGAUAUCUUGUGAGAUGCUGGCGGGCAAAAUUCUCCAGCCAACAUUUUGCCACGGCAUUGGAUUAGCGGGGCUAGCUGGGGUGAAAUCCAAACACACCUAAAAUUCAAUGAUCAGGGCGCUCAUCAGCUAUGCCGAAGCCCGUGGCAUCAGCCAACUGACUGACAUAGUGAACCACCCUUGCAGCAAAUGUACGGAGCAAGGAAUAUGUAAAUAAUCUGCAAGGAUUAUUGUUUACUGCGCAAGUUUCAUCAGUUAGUGGGUCGGUGGAGUAUCCUUGAAACUCCCAGAUGCCUCCUAAGCCUAGGUCGUUCUAGCAAAUUUAAGGAAAAUGAGAACCAGAAUACACCGUUGGCACAUGAAACUAAGACGUACGAUCAACCAUUCAUGGAAGAUGGCUGUGUAGCAUGAUAU
rnacentral:lncRNA from 1 species